GCUUAUCUGGUUGAUCCUGCCAGUAGUCAUACGCUCGUCUCAAAGAUUAAGCCAUGCAUGUGUAAGUGUAAAUGUACUAGUUUGGAACUGCGAAUGGCUCAUUAUAUCAGUUAUAGUUUAUUUGGUGAAGUAUACUACUUGGAUAACCGUAGUAAUUCUAGGGCUAAUACAUGAGAAAGUCCUCUGGUGAGGUGUGUUUAUUAGAAUGAAAACCAUAUGCUUCGGCAGUAUAGUGAGUAAUAGUAACCUAUCGUAUCGCAUGCUUAAUGUAGCGAUGAGUCUUUCAAGUUUCUGCCCUAUCAGCUUUCGAUGGUAGUAUAUGGGCCUACCAUGGCAGUAACGGGUAACGAAGAAUUUGGAUUCGAUUUCGGAGAGGGAGCCUGAGAGAUGGCUACCACAUCCAAGGAAGGCAGCCAGGCGCGUAAAUUACCCAAUCCUGACACAGGGAGGUAGCGACAAUAAAUCACAAUGCGGGACUAUUCGUCUUGCAAUUGGAUUGAGAACAAUGUACAACUCUUAUCGAUAAGCCAUUGGAGGGCAAGUCUGGAGCCAGCAGCCGCGGUAAUUCCAGCUCCAAUAGCAUAUAUUAACGUUGUUGCAGUUAAAAAGCUCA
rnacentral:rRNA from 1 species